rnacentral:rRNA from 1 species
GUAGGUGGCAAGCGUUGUCCGGAAUUAUUGGGCGUAAAGCGCGCGCAGGCGGUUCUUUAAGUCUGAUGUGAAAGCCCACGGGCUCAACCGCGGAGGGUCAUUGGAAACUGGAGAACUUGAGUACAGAAGAGGAAAGCGGAAUUCCACGUGUAGCGGUGAAAUGCGUAGAGAUGUGGAGGAACACCAGUGGCGAAGGCGGCUUUCUGGUCUGUAACUGACGCUGAGGCGCGAAAGCGUGGGGAGCAAACAGGAUUAGAUACCCUGGUAGUCCACGCCGUAAACGAUGAGUGCUAAGUGUUAAGGGGUUUCCGCCCCUUAGUGCUGCAGCUAACGCAUUAAGCACUCCGCCUGGGGAGUACGGCCGCAAGGCUG